GGGUCCAUAGCUCAGCGGUUAGAGCAUCCGGCUCAUAACCGGCAGGUCCCUGGUUCAAAUCCAGGUGGACCCA
rnacentral:tRNA from 1 species